rnacentral:tRNA from 1 species
GGGGUUGUGGCUCAGCAGUAGAGCGUUCAUCUCGAAUGUGCAAAGUCCUGGGUUCGAUCCUCAGCACCA